rnacentral:rRNA from 1 species
UACGUAGGGGGCAAGCGUUGUCCGGAAUCAUUGGGCGUAAAGCGCGUGUAGGCGGCUCGAUAAGUCUGCUGUGAAAGUCCAGGGCUCAACCCUGGGAUGCCGGUGGAUACUGUCGAGCUCGAGUCCGGAAGAGGCGAGUGGAAUUCCUGGUGUAGCGGUGAAAUGCGCAGAUACCAGGAGGAACACCGGUGGCGAAGGCGGCUUCCUGGACGAGUACUGACGCUGAGGCACGAAAGCGUGGGGAGCGAACGGG